CUAACAAGGAUUCCCCUAGUAACGGCGAGUGAAGCGGGAUGAGCUCAAAUUUGAAAUCUGGCUGGUUUACUAGUCCGAGUUGUAAUUUAAAGAAGCGUUUUCGGUGGCAGCCUGGGUAUAAAUCCUUUGGAAUAGGGUAUCAUAGAGGGUGAGAAUCCCGUCUUUGACUAGUGCAUGCUACUAUGUGAUACGUUUUCAAAGAGUCGAGUUGUUUGGGAAUGCAGCUCAAAAUGGGUGGUAAAUUUCAUCUAAAGCUAAAUAUUGGCGAGAGACCGAUAGCGAACAAGUACCGUGAGGGAAAGAUGAAAAGAACUUUGAAAAGAGAGUUAAACAGUGCGUGAAAUUGUUGAAAGGGAAACGUUUGACACCAGUCAUGUGGGUGGAAAAUCAGUCUUUUGCAUUGGGGAGUUGUAAAGGUUCGGACCGCAAGGCCGGCUUUUGCUUCAUCUUUGGUGUAAGGGAUGCACUUUUUCAUCUACAGGUCAACAUCAGUUUCUUUUGCUGGACAAAACUCCGAGAGAAGGUAGCAGCUUAGGCUGUGUUAUAGCUCUGGAGCGAUACAGUGAAGGGGACUGAGGUUUUCGCAGCGUGUGCUCUCGGGCAAGGCUGGAUGGGUGCUAUGGGAUCGUUCGGGGUACAAUGCCUGGCAUUUUGCUUCGUGUCUUUUCUAUACUCGCUCAACUCAGCUCUUCCACGCUUAGGAUGUUGACUUAAUGGUUUUAAACGACCCGUCUUGAAACACGGACCAAGGAGUCUAACAUAUAUGCAAGUGUUUGGGUGGCAAACCCAUGCGCGUAAUGAAAGUGAACGUAGGUGCGAUCCGCAAGGUGCAGCAUCGACCGAUCUUGAUAUUUUUGGAUAGAUUUGAGUAAGAGCAUAUAUGCUGGGACCCGAAAGAUGGUGAACUAUGCCUGAAUAGGGUGAAGCCAGAGGAAACUCUGGUGGAGGCUCGUAGCGAUUCUGACGUGCAAAUCGAUCGUCAAAUUUGGGUAUAGGGGCGAAAGACUAAUCGAACCAUCAGAGCCC
rnacentral:rRNA from 1 species